rnacentral:tRNA from 1 species
GUCCGCGUAGCUCAACAGGACAGAGCGUCGGUCUCCUACACCGGAAUGUGCGGGUUCGACUCCCGCCGCGGACACCA